rnacentral:rRNA from 1 species
AAUGCGUCGGCCCCCCUCACCCGUGUCCUGAAGGGGACGCGGGCCUUAGCGUGGGGGCGGAAGUUGGCUUCCCGUGCAGUGUUUGCGGCUAGCCUGAAACACGGUUCCCUCGCCGCGGACGUCGCGACAAGUGGUGGUCGUCGAGAUUGUACGCGAGUUGCCGGGCAAGCCGCGUCGAGGAGAGCAUUUGGACCCCGUGCGAGAUGAGUCCUUCGCCGAGGGCAAUUCCAACGAUUGCGACCCCAGGUCGGGC